rnacentral:tRNA from 1 species
AAGUUGUCGUGGCCUAGUGGUUAGGGCGAUGGACUAUAAAUCUUAUGGGAUCUUCCCGCGCAGGUUCGAAUCCUGCCUGAUUUA